GCCUACGGGGGGCAGCAGUGGGGGAUAUUGCACAAUGGGGGAACCCCUGAUGCAGCGACGCCGCGUGAGUGAAGAAGUAUUUCGGUAUGUAAAGCUCUAUCAGCAGGGAAGAAAAAAGACGGUACCUGACUAAGAAGCCCCGGCUAACUACGUGCCAGCAGCCGCGGUAAUACGUAGGGGGCAAGCGUUAUCCGGAUUUACUGGGUGUAAAGGGAGCGUAGACGGCAUAGCAAGUCUGAAGUGAAAGCCCAAGGCUCAACCAUGGGACUGCUUUGGAAACUGUUAAGCUAGAGUGCUGGAGAGGG
rnacentral:rRNA from 1 species